rnacentral:rRNA from 1 species
CUUUAUAGCUUGCUAUGAUAAAAAUUAGUGGCAGACGGGUGAGUAAUGCAUAGGAAUCUACCUAGUAGUAUGGGAUAGCCACUAGAAAUGGUGGGUAAUACUGUAUAAUCCCUGCGGGGGAAAGAUUUAUCGCUAUUAGAUGAGCCUAUGUUAGAUUAGCUAGUUGGUAGGGUAAAGGCCUACCAAGGCAGUGAUCUAUAGCUGGUCUGAGAGGAUGAUCAGCCACACUGGAACUGAGAUACGGUCCAGACUCCUACGGGAGGCAGCAGUGGGGAAUAUUGGACAAUGGGCGCAAGCCUGAUCCAGCUAUGCCGCGUGAGUGAGGAAGGCCUUAGGGUUGUAAAACUCUUUCAGUGGGGAAGAUAAUGACGGUACCCACAGAAGAAGUCCCGGCAAACUCCGUGCCAGCAGCCGCGGUAAUACGGAGGGGGCAAGCGUUGUUCGGAAUUAUUGGGCGUAAAGGGCAUGUAGGCGGUUCGGUAAGUUAAAGGUGAAAUGCCAGGGCUUAACCCUGGAGCUGCUUUUAAUACUGC